CGCGUAGGCUGCGGGGCAAGUCGGGUGUGAAAUCUCAGGGCUCAACCCUGAAACUGCACUCGAUACUGCUCUGCUUGAGGACUGGAGAGGAGACUGGAAUUCACGGUGUAGCAGUGAAAUGCGUAGAGAUCGUGAGGAAGACCAGUGGCGAAGGCGGGUCUCUGGACAGUUCCUGAGCUGAGGCGCGAAGGCCAGGGGAGCAAACG
rnacentral:rRNA from 1 species